AAACCUUUGCAUUUUAUGCCCUUGCAUUCUGAACCAAGAAACUACAUUUCACUGGCCAUAUUCCUUCUUGAUGGAUUUAGGUCUUAAUUUUCAGGCACAGCUGUCUUUUCUUUUUUUUUUUAAAUCAAGCUUCAUCUAUCCUUACUGCUUGUUAGUUUGUGUUUACCAGUUGCAAAAGGCAUUUAAUGGUCUGGAGGAGGUGACCUCCCCUCCCCUCCCUUCUGACAUGCCCAGCAAUGUGCUCGGCCAGCUGUGCGGUGCUGUCGUGUAUACAGAAAUUCUUUUCUGAAAAGCACAGGAGAUCAAGUUACACCCUGAAGCCUGAGAUCUGAUCACUCUUAUUAUAGUAGCCUGAAAAGUUGCACAUGUCAUUAGGAGUCCUUAAAUUACUCUCCUUGGCUCUCUAAAAGGAGUUCUGGUAUUUGACUCAGCGAUCUCACAUGGCUGUAAAUUCCACAUUUUGAACAUGCAUUUUCAUGGGGCUGCUUAUUCUGUGACAGAUUCUGUGUGUUAGUGCUCUGGAAAUGACUCUCAGUAAUGGAAGUAGAAGCUGAACCCAAGGAUUCUAGUGGGAAUUUAUGGAAAUUCGAGUCUUGGAAUUAAGUGUGUAUGAAAUCUCCUGAAGUGUUUCAGCACUGGCACUUUCACCUUACCAAUUACACCGCCUAUUAUGGAUGCUCAUUCUGGGCAAUUAUCAUUGUAAUUAUUGGGGCUUCUGGCUACUUCAAUAGAAAGAGUGGAAGCUUCAAAGCAUCAGCGCCUGAGUCAAUGCAGAGAGAGCCAAGCUGAAUACUUGGACAUGGUUCUUCACUGGGGAAGCAGAAAAAGCAGGGCAAGUCAUGCCAAAGCUUGGCUCCGAUUAGACAAGCUUUUACUAUUGAAACGCUGACACCCCGGAGGGGCCUAUAAUUUUGUUUUCCAACAGCCUCGUAAUUACCGAUAACCCUUCCUCCUGCUGACGGCAAAGGGCCUGAAACAUUCCUGGUUUUUCUCUCCCAAUAAACUAUGGAAAUGAUCCCAUA